ensembl:rRNA 5S_rRNA 5S ribosomal RNA
GCCAGCAGCCACAUCACCCUGCAACUCACAACUGGCAACCCACUGAAGCUAAGCAGGUGUGAGCCUGGUCAGUACUGGAUGGGAGACCUCCUGGGAAAAACUAAGGUUGCUGCUGGAA